UACGUAGGGGGCAAGCGUUGUCCGGAAUCAUUGGGCGUAAAGAGCGCGUAGGCGGCCCGAUAAGUCCGCUGUGAAAGUCCAGGGCUCAACCCUGGAAUGCCGGUGGAUACUGUCGGGCUCGAAUCCGGAAGAGGUGAGUGGAAUUCCUGGUGUAGCGGUGAAAUGCGCAGAUAUCAGGAGGAACACCAAUGGCGAAGGCAGCUCGCUGGGACGGUAUUGACGCUGAGACGCGAAAGCGUGGGGAGCAAACAGG
rnacentral:rRNA from 1 species